rnacentral:lncRNA from 1 species
GAGGGUGAGGAGGGGAGUGGGGCCCAAGCCUUGGAGGGCAGUGAUGGCCAUGUCUGAAAGGGGCAGGGCCUGGCCCUGAGGGUGAGAAUGGGAGCAGAGUCCAGCCUUGGAGGGCGGCAUGAAGAGCGGGCCUGGACCUGGAGGGUGAAGUGGGGAGCGGGGCCCAUGCCCUGCAGGGCCCGAUGGCCAUGCCUGAGGGGAACAGGGCCUGGCCCUUAGAGGGUGAGGAGGGCACAAGGCCUCAGGCCCUGGAGGGCGAGGAGGGGAGGAAGGUCCAGCCCUGGAGAAAGAGGAGGGGAGUGGGGUCAGGCCCUGGAGGUGAGGAGGGGAGCAGGGCCCAUGCCCUGGAGGGCAGUGAUGGCUGUUCCUAAGGAGAGAAGGGCCUGGCCCUGGAGGGUGAAGAGGGCAACAGAGCCCAGGCCUCAUAAACAGGCAUCGCUGCCAAUCAGGGCAUGGACCCUCUCCCCAUGUUGCCCUCUAGGGCCAGGCCUUGCUCCUCUUGCCGCCCUCCAGGGCCGGCCCCUGCUCAACCUGCCACCCUCCAGGGCAGGACCACGCUCCCCGCCUCACCGUCCAGGGCCAGGCCCUGCUCCCCUCCUUGCCCUCCAGGGCCUGGGCCUGCUCACCUUGAUGCCCACCAGGGUCGGGCCUUGAUCCCCUACUCACGCUUCAGGGCCCAGCCCUGCUCCCCUCUUUGCCCUCCAGGGCCCUGCAGCCCUCCUUACAAUCCUGGGCUAGGUCCCCCUCCCCUCCUCACCCUCCAGGGUCAGGCCCCACUCCUCUUGGGCACUGCCAUCACUGCCUCCCGGGCAUGGGCCCUGCCUCCCUCCUAGUCCAUCAGGGCCUGUGCCCCAUUCUCUCCUUACCAUCCAGGGCCUGAGCCCCAAGGCCCUCCUCACCCUCCAGGGCCAGGUCCUGCUCCCCUCCUCACCCUCCAGGGCCUGAGCCCCACGGCCCUCCUCACCCUCCAGGGCCUGAGCCCCAUGGCCCUCCUCACCCUCCAGGGCCUGAGCCCCAUGGCCCUCCUCACCCUCCAGGGCCUGAGCCCCACAGCCCUGCUCACCCUCCACGGCCUGGCCCUGCUCCCCUCCUCAUCCUGCAGGGCCUGGCCCCACUCCUUUCCUUGCCCUCCAGGGCCUGACCCCGCUCCACUCCACGCCCUCCAGGGCCUUACCCCGCUCCCCUCACUGCCUUCCAGGGCCUGGCCCCGUUCCCCUUGCCACACUCUAGGGCCUGGCCCCUCUCCCCUCCUUGCCCUCCAGGGCUGGGCCCUCCUCAACUCCUUGCCCUCCAGGGCCAGGCCCUAUUCCCCUCCUCACCCUCUAGGGAUUGGACCCUUCUCUCCUCCUCACCCUCCAGUGCCAGGCCCUGCUCCCCUCCUCGCCUUCCAGGGCAUGGACCCCCCCUCCCUUCCUUGCCUUCCAGGUCCAGGCCCUGCACCUCUUGCUGUCAUCCAGGGCCAGGCCCUGUUCCCCCUGCCACCCUCCAGGGCCGGGUCCUGCUGCCCUCCUUGCCCUCCAGUGCCGGGCCCUUCUCCCCCAGCUGCCUUCCCAUGCAGGACCGUGGUCCCCUACUCACCCUCUAGGGCCGAGCCCUGCUACCCUCCUUGCUCUGAAGGGCCAGGCCCCAUGCCCCUCUUGAACAGGCAUUGCUGUCCUCCAGGGCAUGGGCCCCGUUCCCCUCUCUCCUUCCAGGACCACGCCUCGCAUCUCUUGCUGCCUUACAGGGCCAGGCCCUGCUCCUCCUGCCGCUGUCCAGGGCCUACUCUGCUCCCCUCCUUUCCCUCCAGGGACAGGCCCUGCUCACCUCCUCGCCUUCCAGGGCCUGGGCCCUGCUCCCCUCCUCGCCCUCCAGGGAUUGACCCUGAUCCCCUCCUCGCCCUCCAUGGCCUGGGCCCAGCUCCCUUCCAUGCCCUCCAGGGCCAGGCCUUGGUGCCCUCCUCACCAUCCAGGUCCAGGCCCAGCUCACCUCCUUGCCUCCAGGGCUGGGCCCCACUCCCCUACAGACCUCCAUGGGCAGACCCCCACUCCCCUCUGCACCCUCCAGAGCCUGACCCUGCUGCCUUCCUCACCCUCCAGAGCCUGACCCUGCUGACCUCCUCGCCCUGCAUGGCCUUGCCCCGCUCCGCUCGCUGCCCUACUGGGCCUGACCCUGCUUUCCUCCAUGCCCUCCAGGGCCUUACACUGCUCCACUCACUGCCUUCCAUUUCCUUGCCUGGAUCCCCUUGCCACCAACCAGGGCCUGACCCCACUCCCCUCCUCACCCUCCAAGGCCUGGCCUUGCUCACCUUUAUGUCCUCCAUGGCCAGGGCCCUGAUCUCCUCACUACCUUCCAGGGUCUGGCCCUGUUCCUGUUGCCCUCCCGUGCUUGACCCCGCUCCCUUCCUCAACCUCCAGGUCCAGGCCCCCCACCUCUCGCUGCCUUCCAGGGCCGGGCCCCACUCCCCUCCUUGCCCUCCAGUGCCUGGCCCUUCUGCCCCAGCUGCCUUCCAGUGUAGGACCCUGGUCCCCUCUUUGUUCUCCAGGGCUGAGCCCUGCUCCCCUCCUCUCCUUCCAGGGCCAGGCCCUGCUCACCUCCAUGCCCUCCAUGGCCUGGGCCCAGCUCCCUUCCAUGCCCUCCAGGGCCAGGCCCCAGUGCCCUCCUCACCAUCCAGGGCCAGGCCCCAGUGCCCUCCUCGCCAUCCAGGGCCAGGCCCCGGUGCCCUCCUCGCCAUCCAGGGCCAGGCCCCGGUGCCCUCCUCGCCAUCCAGGGCCAGGCCCCGGUGCCCUCCUUGCCAUCCAGGUCCAGGCCCAGCUCACCUCCUUGCCUUCAGGGCCAGGCCCUGCUCCCCUCCUCACUCUCCAUGGUCCUUCUCUGCUCCCCUCCUCACCCUCCAGGGCCAGGCCCUGCUCCCCUCCUCGCCCUCUCAGGCUGGACCCUGCUCCCCUUGUUGCCCUCCAGUGUGGAACCCCACUUCCCUCCUCGCCCUCCAGGAUCCGGCCCCACUCCCACACUUGCCCUCCAGGGCCUGGGCCCUUCUCCCAUCCUCGCCCUCCAGGGCCUGACCCUGCUCCCCUAGCCUCCCUUCAGUGCGGGACCCCACUUCCCUCCAUGCCCUCCAGGGCCUGCCCCUGCUCCCUCUAAUAUUUCUAAAACCUACAAUGAAGUUGAUUUCUGAACUCUGGAAAAUUGAAAUUGUGUUAAGUAAAAUGCAGAUCAUGCAUUGGGGAGAUCAUGUGCAUUUGGUCAUAAAGUUUAUAAUCACUGUCUAGUUAUAGUGGAGAGUGAACAUGAUGCAUACAACUAUGGUAAAGUCUGAACGCCUGAAUCUAACACCGAACUGUACAUGUAGUGUUAAUGACCAUGCUAAAUUCUAACAGCAUUUGAAUCACUAGAAAUAUUGAAAAGCACCCAAAUAUUUAUAAACCUCGCAUCUGUAUUCACAGUAAUGAUGCUAAAAGUACAAUGUGUAACAUUUCCCAGUACGCGUUUAUAUGCAUUUCCGUUUCACAAACACAUGAAUGCACACACAUACAAAUCAUAGAAGCUUAGGGGUUCAGAAACAAAUAUUUAUGGACUUUAGGCCUUCAUUAUAGUUUAUUGACAAUUGAAAAUAACCAAGUUUAAUACUAAUUUAUAUGUGUUGACAUUUUUGUAACUUUGAACCCACUAUGCUUUCCAGCAUGAUUAGCAAGCCAACGUCUGCUACAUCUUCAAAGGGACUCUUAAAAAUCAAAAGUUUACAGUGGUGCUUAAAACAAUCAAUACAAAGUAGGUGGUUCUGAGAAUGUCUAUAAAUAGUGUCAAUUGCUUGGCUUCCAUUACAUUUGAUUGUUCUCCAAGCAGUGUGGGAACAGGGUAUAAACUGCCCACUUUCAGUUAAAAUAACUAAAAUUGAUUAAUCGGUGUAAUGCUAGUUUUUUUUUGUGGGGGAUAUACAAUAUAUAUUUUAAGUAUGUUCUCUCAAAUUAGUGAAUAUAAGUAUGUAUUUCCUAAAAAUCAGAACUUAAUCCAAAACAGGACAUGAUUUGGGGACAUGAAUUUUAUUAGAUGUUGCAUUAUAUU